CCCGCCCAGGCAUAAACCUGACUCAGGUGAUACAGGCGAGGCUUCUCCCAUGGGUCCUCCCCUUGUGAGAAAGGGUCUGUGCUGUGUACCUUCUCUCUGCACAGCCAUUGUCAGUGUGGUUUGGAGUGAGUGAGCCUCCCGCACUGCUCAGGGGAGAGCUGGUGAGCAUGACUCCAUGGCCUCCUGCUGGUUGGGGUCUUCUUCUGAUUCUCACCAGCAGGAGCACCCAGACCCCCCCUUUUCAGAAAUGAUUACAUUUUCCCUUCAAGAGUCAUCUGUGACCUGGCAGUGUGGAGGGACUGUCCCCUCCUACAGCCUGGCCAACCCCCUUCCUCCAGGGCUGUGUGGAAUCACCUCUCGGAAGCUCACUCUGAAAAGCCACUCACAGGGAUUUCACCAGGAUGUUGCUGUUCCUGCCGACACCUGGGCUUUGUGACAAAUGCUGUUUGCUUCAAGCUGUUCACAAGCAACUUCACCAGAAUCCCAAGCUGGGGUGGAGUAUAAACCUAACUUUUGGAAACAUGAAGAAAUAAACAAUAGCGCCAGCCGUUCGGAGGGUGUCCUUCUGUGCUUUGCAGGGGGCAGGGGGUGCGCAUUAGCCGCCAUGAGCAGCCCAUCCUCAUCAGAGAAACCCAGACUUGCCGAGACCCCUCAAACGACUCAACACCAUUGCAGUGGUUUUCUGUGUGGGCUCCUGAUCAUCACCGUAAUCUGCCCCAGAUGGGAGACACCGGGAUCCAGCUCCUGGACACCGGCCUUACCGGCCCAUCUUCUACAUGGAGAGCAGAAGUGCCACGGGGCCAGUUUGUGGCUCUCCCCGAGAAGGGAGGAUGGCUCAGAGUGUCACACUGACCUAAGGCAUGACCUCUUAGACUCCUAGAAGCUCUUUGGUUUCAAGAAAGAUGAUCUGGGUUCAUUUCACGUUU